rnacentral:rRNA from 1 species
CCGGAGGUUACUGCUAUCGGUGUUCGCCUAAGCCAUGCGAGUCAUAUGUAGCAAUACAUGGCGUACUGCUCAGUAACACGUGGAUAACCUGCCCUUUGGACCGGCAUAACCCCGGGAAACUGGGGAUAAUUCCGGAUAACGCAUAUGUGCUGGAAUGCUUUAUGCGUAAAAUGGAUUCGUCCGCCCAAGGAUGGGUCUGCGGCCUAUCAGGUAGUAGUGGGUGUAAUGUACCUACUAGCCAGCGACGGGUACGGGUUGUGAGAGCAAGAGCCCGGAGAUGGAUUCUGAGACAUGAAUCCAGGCCCUACGGGGCGCAGCAGGCGCGAAAACUUUACAAUGCGGGAAACCGUGAUAAGGGGACACCGAGUGUCAGCAUCAUAUGCUGGCUGUCCAGGUGUGUAAAAUACACCUGUUAGCAAGGGCCGGGCAAGACCGGUGCCAGCCGCCGCGGUAACACCGGCGGCCCGAGUGGUGAUCGUGAUUAUUGGGUCUAAAGGGUCCGUAGCCGGUUUGGUCAGUCCUCCGGGAAAUCUGAUGGCUCAACCAUUAGGCUUUCGGGGGAUACUGCCAGGCUUGGAACCGGGAGAGGUAAGAGGUACUACAGGGGUAGGAGUGAAAUCUUGUAAUCCCUGUGGGACCACCUGUGGCGAAGGCGUUUUACCAGAACGGGUUCGACGGUGAGGGACGAAAGCUGGGGGCACGAACCGGAUUAGAUACCCGGGUAGUCCCAGCCGUAAACGAUGCUCGCUAGGUGUCAGGCAUGGCGCGACCGCGUCUGGUGCCGUAGGGAAGCCGUAUAGCGAGCCACCUGUGAAGUACGGUCGUAAGGCUGAAACUUAA